GUGAAUCAUCGAAUCUUUGAACGCAAAUUGCGCUUUCUGGUAUUCCGGAGAGUAUGCCUGUUUGAGGGUCAGUUAAAUAUAAAUCGGUGUUUUUUCUGCCUUUCGUGGUGACGCGUCUGUAUUUGGUCUUCUUACUUUCGGUUAAGUGAGUGUAAAUUUUUGUAUUAUUUUCGAACGUAUUUAAAUCGCUUACGUACGUUGGAUAUAUCGAAUUCGUUUUAUGUUCGUUCA
rnacentral:misc_RNA from 1 species